AGCCGGCGACGGCAUCCUAUUGCUGAGAAGCUGAUCAAACUUGGUCAUUUAGAGGAAGUAAAAGUCGUAACAAGGUUUCCGUAGGUGAACCUGCGGAAGGAUCAUUAUUGAAUAAACUUGGUUGGGUUGUUGCUGGCUCUUCGGAGCAUGUGCACGCCUAGCGCCAUUUUUACCACCUGUGCACUUCUUGUAGAUUUGAAACACCCUUUCGAGGAAACUCGGUUUGAGGACUGCUAUGCGAAAGCUAAGCUUUCCUUGCGUUUCAAGUCUAUGUUUUUAUAUACCCCAUCAGAAUGUUUUAGAAUGUCAUUAAUAGGCUUUAUUGCCUCUAAUUAAUACAACUUUCAACAACGGAUCUCUUGGUUCUCGCAUCGAUGAAGAACGCAGCGAAAUGCGAUAAGUAAUGUGAAUUGCAGAAUUCAGUGAAUCAUCGAAUCUUUGAACGCACCUUGCGCUCCUUGGUAUUCCGAGGAGCAUGCCUGUUUGAGUGUCAUUAAAUUCUCAACCCUUUCAGCUUUUGCGAGCUGGAUUGGCUUGGAUAUGGGGGUUUGCGGGCUUCUCAGAAGUCGGCUCCNCUUAAAUAUAUUAGCGGAACCUUUGUGGACCAGCUUUGGUGUGAUAAUUAUCUACGCCAUGGUUGUGAAGCAGCUUUACAUGGGGUUCAGCUUCUAAUCGUCUAUUAACUUGGACAAUUUCUGAUAUUUUGACCUCAAAUCAGGUAGGACUACCCGCUGAACUUAAGCAUAUCAAUAAGCGGAGGAAAAGAAACUAACAAGGAUUCCCCUAGUAACUGCGAGUGAAGCGGGAAAAGCUCAAAUUUAAAAUCUGGCGGUCUAUGGCCGUCCGAGUUGUAAUCUAGAGAAGUGCUAUCCGCGCUGGACCGUGUACAAGUCUCCUGGAA
rnacentral:rRNA from 1 species